rnacentral:rRNA from 1 species
CAAUGCGCGAAAGCGUGACGGAGCAAUGCCGCGUGAAGGACGAAGCCCCUCGGGUGUAAACUUCUGUCAGGGUUCACCAAUUCUGAGGAGACCCAAAGGAAGGGCCGACUAACUCUGUGCCAGCAGUCGCGGUAAUACAGAGGGCCCGAGCGUUGCGCGGAUUCACUGGGCUUAAAGGGUGCGUAGGCGGACGUGAAAGUGUCUUGUGAAAUACCACGGCUUAACCGUGGAACGGCUGGGCAAACUACACGUCUUGAGCCCGACAGGGGCCGUCGGAACUGUAGGUGGAGCGGUGAAAUGCGUAGAUAUCUACAGGAACGCCAAAGGUGAAGACAGACGGCUGGGUCGGUGCUGACGCUCAGGCACGAAAGCGUGGGUAGCGAACGGGAUUAGAUACCCCGGUAGUCCACGCCGUAAACGAUGUGCACUAGAUCGUGGAGGUUUUGACACCAUCAUGGUCGCCGUGAAAGCAUUAAGUGCACCGCCUGGGGAGUACGGUCGCAAGGCUA